UACGUAGGGGGCUAGCGUUGUCCGGAAUCAUUGGGCGUAAAGAGCGUGUAGGCGGCUCGGUAAGUCCGCUGUGAAAGUCGGGGGCUCAACCCUCGAAUGCCGGUGGAUACUGUCGAGCUAGAGUGCGGAAGAGGCGAGUGGAAUUCCUGGUGUAGCGGUGAAAUGCGCAGAUAUCAGGAGGAACACCGGUGGCGAAGGCGGGUCUCUGGGCCGUAACUGACGCUGAGGAGCGAAAGCAUGGGGAGCGAACAGG
rnacentral:rRNA from 1 species